rnacentral:rRNA from 1 species
GCUAAAAAGCUAGCUUAAACACCAAAAUACUAAAAACAACAUUAAAUCACCUUACAAAAAUACAACAUACAAACUAAAACAUUUUUCCGCCUAAGUAAGUGAGACAGAAAAGGCCUAACCAAAGCAAUAAUAAAAGUACCGCAAGGGAACGCUGAAAGAGAAAUGAAACAAAUCAUAAAAGCACAACAAAGCAGAGACUAACCCUCGUACCUUUUGCAUCAUGAUUUAGCUAGUCACACUGAGCAAAGAGUACUUUAGUUCAAUCCCCCGAAACUAAGUGAGCUACCCCGAGACAGCCUAUAAAAUAGGGCCAACCCGUCUCUGUGGCAAAAAGAAGUGGGGAAGUACUCCCGGGUAAGAGGUGGCAAAAAGGAGUGGGAAGAUCUCCGGGUAGAGGUGACAGACCUACCGAACUUAGUUAUAGCUGGUUGCCUAAGAAAUGAAUAGAAGUUCAGCCUCGCACUCCUCAACUCAAAAACACACGUUAAAACACGAACCUGAGAAACACACGAGAGUCAGUCAAAGGGGGUACAGCCCCUUUGAAACAGGAUACAACCUCAUCAGGAGGUUAAAGAUUAUACUAAACAAGAUAUACCGCUUUAGUGGGCCUAAAAGCAGCCAUCUAAGUAGAAAGCGUUAAAGCUCCUGCGGAUUAAAAAUCUAUUAUCUAAAUAUCUUAUCUAAAACCCCUAAUUCUAUUAGGCCAUUCCAUGCCAACAUGGAAGAGACACUGCUAAAAUGAGUAAUAAGAAGGAACACCCUUCUCCAAAGCCUACGUGUAUGCUAGACCGGACCCCCCACUAGCAAUUACCGAACCCAACAAAAGAGGGCAAUGUGGAAUCACUAAACAUCAAGAAAUACCCACAACCCAAAUCGUUAACCCCACACCGGAAGGCUAUUUAAAGGAAAGACUAAAAGAAGAGGAAGGAACUCGGCAAACACAAGCCUCGCCUGUUUACCAAAAACAUCGCCUCCUGCAAAACCCAAUAUAUAGGAGGUCUUGCCUGCCCAGUGACUAGUUAAACGGCCGCGGUAUUUUGACCGUGCGAAGGUAGCGCAAUCACUUGUCUUUUAAAUGAAGACCUGUAUGAAUGGUGGAACGAGGGCUUAACUGUCUCCCCCUUCAAGUCAAUGAAAUUGAUCUGCCCGUGCAGAAGCGGACAUACAAGUACAAGACGAGAAGACCCUUUGGAGCUUAAGAUACAAGAUCAACUAUGUCAAGAAUCUAAAAAUUAAACUAAAUAGUAACUGAUCCCUAUCUUCGGUUGGGGCGACCGCGGGAGAAAACAAAGCUCCCACGCGGACUGGGGCCACACCCUAAAACCAAGAAAGACAUUUCCAAGUCACAGAAUAUCUGACCAUUAAGAUCCGGCCACACGCCGAUCAACGGACCAAGUUACCCCAGGGAUAACAGCGCAAUCCUCUUCCAGAGUCCAUAUCGACAAGAGGGUUUACGACCUCGAUGUUGGAUCAGGACAUCCUAAUGGUGCAGCCGCUAUUAAGGGUUCGUUUGUUCAACGAUUAAAGUCCUACGUGAUCUGAGUUCAGACCGGAGCAAUCCAGGUCAGUUUCUAUCUGUAAUGCCAUUUUUCCUAGUACGAAAGGACCGGAAAAAGGGGGCCCAUAUAAUCUAUACGCCCCACCCCAACUUAAUGAAACCAACUAAAUUAAAACAAGGGAGGGCAUAAUCCCACAUCAAGAUAAGAUU